rnacentral:lncRNA from 1 species
UGAUAAGUGCAUAUUUUUCAUAUUUUUAAGUACCUAAUUAUUGAUUGUUCUCACUUAUUUAUUUGUUUAUUUGUCUUUUUUCAGGAAUAUUGCAAAUGCUUGAAGAAAUAAAAGAAUAAAGCAAAAAAGAGAAAAAGAUGGGAAGAAAAGGAUCAUAGGGGAAUAUUCUCAAGGAAGCAUCUAGAUGGGACACCUACACCCCCCUCUACCCUAAUUUCCCCCUAUAAAUACACAUCUCCCCAUCAUGUUUCAACCAAUCUAGGAUUUCAUAUUUUUAGUAGCCUCUCUUUUAUGUAGUAGAUCUAGUAGUAGCACUCUAAAUUUGUAAACACUUUUAUUAUAUCAAUACAAGUAUUCAUUUUUGUUCUUAAAUCUUGCUCUUUACUUUUACUUCUAGGCUAUGAAAUCUUUCUCUAACCACAUGAGACUCAAAAUUACUUGUGGAUUGAAAGGAGCCUAAUUAUAUGUUUUAAGCUUGCAUUUUUUAGUAUUUAGAUUGAACCCCUUUUAAUUCUCAAUAUUAUUAGUGGGUUCAAUGGUUUAGUAUUCUAGAUUUUGAUUUUAGCUUGUAGUUUGAUGGGGUUUUGUUAGAAAUAUGGUAGAUGAGCUAGUUUUGAAGUUUUGUGUGAUUUGGAGUUAAUUUGGUUAGAUUUGGUGUUCUCCUUGUUCUUGAUUUUGGUAUUUUUGAGGGCUUUUGGGUGUAAAUUUUAGUUUGUGAUUUUGAAUUGAGAUUAGUGGGUUUUGGUUAGUUAUAUUUUAUAUAGGCUAGAUUUAAAGUUUGGUGUAUUUUGGAGUUGUUUUGGCUUAAUUUAGGUCUUGUUUUGGUAAGAAAUGGGUAGUUUAAGGGCUAUUUAGUGUAGAAUUUAGUGUUAAAUUUGGUUUAGAGGUUAGUGGGGUUUGAUUAGAAAUAUUUGGAAUUGCUAGAUUUUCCGGUCAAAUCAAUUUUCCGGCGAGAUUUAAGCUAUUCCGGGCACCUCCAUAGAUUCCGGUAGUUAGCUUUUGGUGGAUCUGCGACAGUGUCAGCGCGUACUCGAAUACUACUGAUCUGGUUGAUUUCUUAAUUUACUGUUCUGUUUUUAUUUCUUGUUUUUUUUACGCCACGCUGCUUUUGUUUUUUUUUCUUUUUAGUUUUUAUACUAAGCUGCUGCCUGCUUGUAUUACUGUUUCUCGGUUACCUUUCUGUUCUUGUUGUUUUACGCGUUCAAACGGUAUCAAACAGACACUUCACUGCUGCUUAGUUUUUGUUUUCUUUUGUUUCUUUUUUAUUUUCUUUUUGUUGAUUUAGAAAAAUCAAAACUCUCUCAUCCAAAUUUAAUUGUUCUAAUUCGCCUAAAUUAGACAUUAGGGAAUUUGCGAAAAUAAUUUAGUCUCUUGGGUACGAAUCUAAAUAUACUAAAACGGGAUCGUGCACUUGCGAUUUUUAGCACAUCAAGUUUUUAACGCCGCUGCCGGGGACUAAAAUUAAUUUUCGCGCCUUAAUUUUUAAUUUUUCGGAUUAGUUUUUUUUUUUUUUAUAUUCUCUCACUUUUUUUUUGUUGAAAUUUAGGAAAUUGGAAGAGUAUGAGCUAGCUUGGAAUAAGUGGAGAAUAUUCUUGGAGUAUUGGAAGUUUGCUUGGGUAACUUGUAUCUCUCUCCUAUUUCAAUUUAUUUUAUUUAGAAAAUCACAAAAAAAAUUGAAAAUUAAAAAAAUCACAAACAAAUUAUAAAUUUUAAAAUCCAAAAAUAUAAGAUAGAAUUACAUAUGUGUUGCAUCAUGCAUUUAAUCACUUAGGGCACAUCAUCUAGUUUUUAAUUUUUGUUUUUAAAUUUUCGUAACUUAAAUUGUGGUGAUCGCUGGAGGACCCUAAGGUGCGUUAAUUUCUUCCUUUCUUUAGAGUAAAUCACGUAGUGUAGAAGCAUCCAUAUUUGUUUACCGCUUUUAUUAUCUCAUUGUGUGGUGCAUCAUUUUAAAUAAAUCUUAAGGGCAAAACCACUCAUAAGAUAAGGGAAGGGAUUUCAUUACUCUUUCCUUGGCCCACAACAAUUUAAUUCUUCAUUUUGCAUUCCCUAGCCUUUUAAUAAAAUUGAAUUAGACGUUAGCCCCUAGGAUUUCGCGCUCAAUUAGGAAGGUACCUAAAAUACGAGGUAAUCUUUAAUUAUUCCGACUCUUCGGUGUCUAAGGCAAGCGAAAGCUUACCUGGCCGAUUAAGGUUUGGUGUCUAAGCGCGGAGAUUGGCCUCUUGGCAAUGCCUGCUCCAAACUGGCCAAACCGGUCCGAAUAAUUUUGGAUUUAUCGAGUUUUUGGUGGUCCUUAACGUUAGGAGCAAGGUCUAGUUCAUUUUUAUUAGGGAACCCUAGAAUUAAGUUUUUCUUUCACUUUUACACCCUUUCUUUUGUUUGUUUUAUUUCUUCGCACUUAUUUGCUACGUGUUUACUAUCUAGUUUAUGCGAACUACUUGGGUUAGGAGCGAAUCGUCUAGAUUAGUUCGACCGAUCAUCGAAAUUCCUUCUUCGUCCUCUUCGGACUCCGAACCCAUAGAAGCUAGCGAACCGAUAUUAAACAUGGCAUUGUCUCUUAAAGACCGUUGUUACCCGUCCCGUUUGGCUCAACCUUCGUGUAUCACCCUUCCUCCCGUUAAUGGGAACAAUUUCGAGAUUAAGGCACAUCACAUUAGCAUGUUGCCUAAGUUUUUAGGGAGUGAAGGUGAGGAUCCCUAUCUUUUUAUCCAAGAAUUCGAGGAAGUUUGUUCCCUCCAAAAGCUCCACCAAUUAACGGAAGAUUCGAUUAGACUUAGGCUCAUUAAUUUUGCGCUUAAGGAGAAUGCGAAAAAAUGGUUAUAUAGUCUUCCCGUUAAUUCUAUUUCCACGUGGGAGGGGUUCGUUGUGGUGUUUCUUAAAAAGUAUUUUCCAAAUCAUAAGACUACUCGAAUUACAAAUGAAAUAAAUCAAUUUCAUCAAAAGGAAAAUGAGUCUUUUUGGAUUUUCUUUGACCGCUUCAAAAAUCUUCUCUCACAAUGCCCCCACCACGGAAUAGAAAAAUGGAGACUUUGCAAGAUAGUUUACGAGGCCUUAGAUAGUCAAACCACCGCGUUAUUAGAGUCUAUGUGCCAAGGUAAAUUCAUGGAAAAAGAUGAGGAUCAAGGGUGGGAAUUUUUCGAGGAUUUAGCGGAAAAGACUAUGAUGUGGGAGUCAACUAGGGAGCCCAAAAAGUCAAUUCAGUCAUCUAGCGCUAGGGGCUUGCAUUCGAUAGGAAAUAAUGUGGCAACCGAUGCCAAACUAGCCACCCUAACUAGGAGACUUGAAGCUUUAGAAACUAGUAAAUCUCCCCCACAAAUGUCGAUGCUCCCUAAUUACAAUUUUCAAAAUCCCGGAACCCAACCUUCGCACGAACUUGAACAAGUAAAUGCGAUGUUUCAAAAUCCUAGGAAUGAUGCGUUUGCACCCACUUAUAAUCCCGGGUGGAGAAAUCACCCAAAUUUCUCAUGGACCCAAGGUCAAAUUUUUCAAAAUCAAGGCCCAACUUCUUUUCAAACUCCUCAAACAAAUUUUCAAAGGCCUAACCCAAACUCUUGCCCAACCCAAAGUCCGAACUCAUUUCCUAACCCAAUUCAAACACCUUUGAAUCCUCCUGGUUUUAAUUAUUCGGAUAAACGUCUUAAUUCCUUAGAAAAGAGUUUGGAAGCCUUAGUUAAAUCGCAAACUAAUUUGACUCAAUCUCAACAUACUUUCAUGACAACCCUAACCCAAGAUAGGCAAAUUUUGCAUUCUAACGUGCAAGCCGUUUCUAAGUUAGAGGCCCAAUUAAGUCAAUUAGCUAGCGCGUUGUGUGAGCGAGAGAAGCACAAGUUGCCAAGUCAACCCGAGGUCAAUCCUAAGUUUCCUAUCAAUCAAAGACCUCACGAGAAUGUUAAUGCAAUUAUCUCUCUAAGGUCGGGUAAUCAAGUGGAUAACAGAGUUGGUGAGAACGUUAAUGAAAAUGAGGAGUCGAUUCCUAAAACAAAUCCUUCUUUGUCUAGCACUAAUCAUGACAAACCCGAAUGUUCUAGAGAACGUGAGUCUAUGAGUGAACCUAGUCCUGGGCCCAUCUCUCAAAAGCCCAACGAAGAAGUUUACAAGCCAAGGGUUCCAUACCCACAAAGACUCAUUCGUCCUAAACAAUCGGCCCAAAUGGAACAAAUCCUAGAGGUUUUUAAACAAGUCAAGAUUAACAUUCCUCUUUUAGAUGCCAAUCAACAAGUUCCUUCUUAUGCCAAGUGUCUAAAAGAUUUGUGUAGCCAUAAGAAAACCACUCAUGUUCCAAAGAAAGCCUUUUUGACCUCUCAAGUAAGCUCGAUUCUCUCGAAUCAGAUUCCCGUGAAAUAUAAGGAUCCCGGUUGUCCUACAAUUUCUUGUGUCAUAGGCAAUACGUUUGUGGAUAAAGCUUUACUUGAUUUAGGAGCGAGUGUGAAUCUUCUUCCUUUCUCGGUCUACCAAGCCCUAGGUUUAGGGGAUCUCAAGUCCACCAAUAUGACCCUUCAACUUGCCGAUCGUUCCAUUAAAAUGCCAAAGGGGAUUAUUGAGGACGUUUUGAUCAAAAUAGGUGAUUUUAUCUUUCCCGUGGACUUUGUUGUUCUCGAGACUCAACCCGUCUCGAAUCCUAAGAACCAAAUUCCUAUCAUUUUAGGAAGGCCUUUUCUUGCUACAUCCAAUGCCUUAAUCAAUUGUAGGAAUGGUUCUAUGAAGCUCACAUUUGGAAACAUGACCAUUGAUUUAAACAUUUUCAACGUAGGAAAAGAACCCAAUGAGCUUUAUGAGCAACCUAUAGGGGUCAAUGUGGUCAACAAGUUUGUCACAUGGUCUAGCUUUGAGGAUAGUGAGAUUGAGUCUCUUCUCGGUGAAGAUUUCAAAGUCAACCACGAGGAUAAUAGAGCGUAUCAUGAGUCUUUGAAAGAUUUGACCUCGGAGGAGUUGUUAGGGGAAUUGAACGACAUAGUUGACCUCGGAGGAGUUGUUAGGGGAAUUGAACGACAUUUGUUCAAAAUGGAAAACUCCACCCGAGAUUGUUCGUGUUGACCCUAGGCCCGAUUAUGAGAGUCAUGGAGGCGAACCACCGACAUUUGACUCGUUGUUCCAUCAUUCACAUAGAGCCUUAGGAAAGGAUGACGUCGUUUCUUACAUCGUUCCUAGUGAUUUAUCCCAUGACCAAAAUUGCAUUGUCUCUAAUUUGCUUAAUAAUAAAGAAGCAUUAAGUUGGUUUAGGGAGAACAUUAGUGAUACUUGUCCUAUAGGGAUGAACGAUUGUCACAUGCUAGAGAAAGUCUUUGUGCAUAAAAAUUUUCGAAAACAUUUUGAUUCUUUCUCGAAGCUUCCUCCCAUAUUUCCUUCCGGAAUUGGCUGAAGUGGUUCCUUCUUAGAACCUUCCCUCGUGAAGUUCAGGUAUGAGGAAGGAAAUGUGUGCAUGCGUUGGUCGUGUUAGUGUUUCGUUCGUUAAUAAAAAUCCCCUUCAUCUCCUAUUCAGGUAUUUUUCCUCUUUACUCUCUCAUUUCAAUUCUCUCUUUUGCAUACAUUGAGGACAAUGCAUGAUUUAGGUAUGGGGAGGGCUUUAGUGUAAUCCUUAAAAAAUGAAAAUCCCUAAAAAAUGAAAAAAUUAGAAAAUCCAAAAAUAGAGAUGUUUUAGCUAAGUUGUUUUUCCCUCACUCGAACUUUAGGAGUAGUUGGUGUUAGCAUGUUUUCACAAAAGUAUAUAUAUGUAGUGUCUUUUAGAUAAUUUGAACGUAGUUGAGUAAGGUUGUCUUUUUGAAGCUUGUAUCGACCGAUUUGUACUUUAAAUUCCAAGAUGGCACACACCUUUGCACGAGACCUUUGAUGGAGAGAUUGUCUAGUGAUAUUAUUCGAUACCUGAGAGAGAACCCACAUGUUGAAACAAUGUCGAAUCGAACCUUUGCGAAUAAAAAAAGAAAGAAAAAGAAAAAAAAUAGAGAUAGAAAAAGAAAAGGAAUAACUACUUCAAUACCCAUUGUUCUUUAUAGAUAAAAUCUUUAGAUAAAUGGGCAAAAGUAGAUUGGCUAGUCUCGUUUUGUGGCCUUUGUUACUCGAGCAAUUAAGUCCGUAGGGGGAUUUCAAAACCUAGUGCCCUACGACCGUUUGGUUUGGGAGUCACUGACCUAAAGCUCGCUACAUGGGUAACAUUGUUUGCCUAAGAAAACGGACAAAAUAAAGUCAAUGCAAAAAAAAAAAAGAGAAAAAAAAAAAAAAAAAAAGAAAAAAAAGAAGAAGAAUAAGAGUUUGUGAAGUUUGGCUAGAUAUUUGUUUCGAUAGAGAUAAAAAAAAGAAAAGAAAAAAAAAAGAAUAAGAGUUUGUGAAGUUUGGCUAGAUAUUUGUUUCGAUAGAGAUUGGGUCAGUUCAAAAUUGGUUGAAAAAAGAGAAAGUGUUCUUAGACAAUUCGGAUCCAUCAAAGGCCUUAAAUUACUUACACUCCUUGGAUGUCUAGUAAAUCUUUGUGUCGAUACAAGUAGAUUAGAGACAACUGUAUCUUGAUUAUUAGUAGAUGAGUCUUUAAGUCGUAUUUUCCUUAAAAACGCUUUUUGUUAACACCAACGAAAUUAGAGUAGAGUCGAGUAGACACUUGCUAGAAUGUCUCGAAGAUUUUAUGGGUAUAUCUUCUGUAAACCCUUAGGAGACAAAACUCCUCUUGUAGAGAUCGUCUACGAGUUUAACGGGUUGGUGAACCUCUUGCUAUAAUGUCUCGAAGAUUUUAUGGGUAUAUCUUCUGUAAACCCUUAGGAGACAAAACUCCUCUUGUAGAGAUCGUCUACGAGUUUAACGGGUUGGUGAACCUAAAAUCACCCGUCACGCCUACGAAAAGGAGCCUAGGAAUCGCAUCUAGUUUUCUUAGUUUAUUUUCUUUUCUUUUGAUUUUACUCGAGGACGAGCAAAAUAUAGGUAUGGGGAAGUUUGAUAAGUGCAUAUUUUUCAUAUUUUUAAGUACCUAAUUAUUGCUUGUUCUCACUUAUUUAUUUGUUUAUUUGUCUUUUUUCAGGAAUAUUGCAAAUGCUUGAAGAAAUAAAAGAAUAAAGCAAAAAAGAGAAAAAGAUGGGAAGAAAAGGAUCAUAGGGGAAUAUUCUCAAGGAAGCAUCUAGAUGGGACACCUACACCCCCCUCUACCCUAAUUUCCCCCUAUAAAUACACAUCUCCCCAUCAUGUUUCAACCAACCUAGGAUUUUCUCUUUUUAGUAGCCUCCUUUUUAUAGUCUAGAUCUAGUUUUAAUUUGUAUGCUCUCUUCUCCUUUUGUAAACACUUUAAUAUUUUAAUGCAAGAUUUGAUCUUUUGUUCUUACAUUAUUGUUCUUAAUGUUUCUUUUGGCUAUGAAAUCUUCCUCUAACUACAAAGUUCAAAAUUGUUUGUAGAUUGGAAGGAGCCAUUAAUUAGUUGUAAGCUCUCUUAAUUUUAGUUUUAAUUUUUGGAAGAAGUUAAAUCCUAGCAUAAAAUCAUUGUGCGUUGGGGUUGACUAUGGAAUUUUAAUUCGGCAGUUCAUUAUAAUCAGUUUAGCAGCCUAGUUAUACGCUUGUGUUUACUUGUUUUUUUUUUUAAAACCCUUUUUCAAAUGUUUUCUUUUAACAAUACCCUUUCUCCCCUGUUUUCGUUCCUUUUCUAAAGAAAAACAUAACACCCACCUGCCAUGUUCUUUCCAUUUUGAUUUUACUGUGAACUUCGUUUGAGUCGCAAACCGAGUUUAUCAUUUUCGAUUCCCCUGCUUCGAGUCUUACAUCGUUUUGAUGAUUUUAGAGAUUGUUUUUGCUGUGUUGUACUGCGUAUCGAGUCGCCGACUCCUGGGUUUUGUUUAGAGCGGAGUCAUGGCUGCGUUUCUCUUUUGGCUGAGUUUAAGUCACUGAACUGGGUUUUCUGCUUCGUGUGUUGCUGUUAUUUGAUGAAUGCUGAGUCGUUAAUUAGUGUUUUAGGUCCGAGUUCGAUUGUGAAUGUUCUUCGUUAGCUCGAGUCUAGUUUUCAGCUGGUCGAGUUGUAGCCGAGUCACUGCAUUUUCUUUCUUAAACAUUUAGAUUCUGAGUUAUAUUUGGUAGUUUUUGUCGAGUUUGCAUCCUAGUCCGAGUCGCAGCUCUUGCUUCGAGUUCUGGGUUUGUUAUCGAGUUUAUUCUUGCUGCGUUUUCUUGUUGAGCUGCGUUGGUUUUGAGUCGUAGCUGAUGAGUCUGAGUUUAUUGUAUGCGAAGUCGCGUUUCGAUUCUGAGUUCUGCUGACUUUUCUGGCUGUAGUUUUGGAUCGAAAUGUGUAGUUUUUUAUAUGUUGCGUUGCUGCGUUUUUCAGGCUCGGCUUUGGUCGAGUUGAUUGUCUGAGUUGUUAGCAUUUCUGUGUUCUUUAUGUUUAGUUGUUUUACUUCUUUUUGGUCUCGUAUACUCACUGUUUCCUUUCGUUAGAAUCUGUGCUUGUACUCAGUUUAUGCUAUUGGUUGAAUGUUAUGCUUUAUUUGGAUAAAUUUGUCUCUGGAUUUUGAGUAUUACCGAGCUUACUUGUAGUUCUUCUUCCC